GAUGAAGAACGUAGUGAAAUGCGAUAAGUAAUGUGAAUUGCAGAAUUCAGUGAAUCAUCGAAUCUUUGAACGCACAUUGCGCCCGCCAGUAUUCUGGCGGGCAUGCCUGUUCGAGCGUCAUUUCAACCAUCAAGCCCUGCUUGAGUUGGGGUCCUGCGGCUGCCCGCAGGCCCUGAAAACCAGUGGCGGGCUCGCUAGUCACACCGAGCGCAGUAAUACAUCUCGCUUUGGGCGUGCGGCGGGUUCUUGCCGUUAAACACCCCCUUUUUACCAAGGUUGACCUCGGAUCAGGUAGGAAUACCCGCUGAACUUAAGCAUAUCAAUAAGCGGAGGA
rnacentral:misc_RNA from 1 species